AGUGGCGAAAGGGGCAGUAAGGCAUGGGUAACCUACCCCGGGGACCGGGAUAGCCAUCCUAACGGAUGGGUAAUACCGGGCGAGGUAACGGGAACGCCUGUUUCUGUUACGAAAGGAAUUUCGCCUCGGGAGGGGCUCAUGUGGUAUUAGCUAGUUGGUGGGGUAAUGGCCUACCAAGGCAAAGAUGCCUAGCGGGUGUGAGAGCACGACCCGCGCCACUGGCACUGAGACACUGGCCAGACUCCUACGGGAGGCUGCAGUCGAGGAUCUUCGGCAAUGGGCGCAAGCCUGACCGAGCGACGCCGCGUGUGCGAUGAAGGCCUUCGGGUUGUAAAGCACUGUCGAGGGGGAGGAAAGCCCGCAAGGGUUUGACCUAUCCCUGGAGGAAGCACGGGCUAAGUUCGUGCCAGCAGCCGCGGUAAGACGAACCGUGCGAACGUUAUUCGGAUUCACUGGGCUUAAAGGGCGCGUAGGCGGGUCACCAAGUCUGGGGUGAAAUCUUUCGGCUUAACCGGAAAAUUGCCUGGGA
rnacentral:rRNA from 1 species